CGUCGCCUACGGGAGGCAGCAGUAGGGAAUCUUCCACAAUGGACGAAAGUCUGAUGGAGCAACGCCGCGUGAGUGAAGAAGGGUUUCGGCUCGUAAAACUCUGUUGGUAGUGAAGAAAGAUAGAGGUAGUAACUGGCCUUUUUUUGACGGUAAUUACUUAGAAAGUCACGGCUAACUACGUGCCAGCAGCCGCGGUAAUACGUAGGUGGCAAGCGUUGUCCGGAUUUAUUGGGUUUAAAGGGAGCGUAGGUGGAUUGUUA
rnacentral:rRNA from 1 species